GAUGAACGCUAGCGGCAGGCCUAACACAUGCAAGUCGAGGGAGAGGUUACCUUCGGGUAACCAACACCGGCGCACGGGUGCGUAACGCGUAUACAAUCUGCCUUUCACAUAGGGAUAGCCCGAAGAAAUUUGGAUUAAUACCUAAUGGUAUAUAAGAGCGGCAUCGUUUUUAUAUUAAAGCUACGGUGGUGAAAGAUGAGUAUGCGUUCUAUUAGCUAGUUGGAGAGGUAACGGCUCCCCAAGGCGACGAUAGAUAGGGGUUCUGAGAGGGAUGUCCCCCACACUGGUACUGAGAUACGGACCAGACUCCUACGGGAGGCAGCAGUGAGGAAUAUUGGACAAUGGUCGGAAGACUGAUCCAGCCAUGCCGCGUGCAGGAUGAAGGUCCUAUGGAUUGUAAACUGCUUUUGUAAGGGAAGAAUAAGGAGUACGUGUACUUUGAUGACGGUACCUUACGAAUAAGCAUCGGCUAACUCCGUG
rnacentral:rRNA from 1 species